AUUGGACGCUGGCGGCAUGCUUUACACAUGCAAGUCGAACGGUAACAGGGUGCUUGCACCGCUGACGAGUGGCGAACGGGUGAGUAAUGCGUCGGAACGUGCCGAGUAGUGGGGGAUAACGCAGCGAAAGUUGUGCUAAUACCGCAUACGUACUGAGGUAGAAAGUGGGGGACCUUCGGGCCUCACGCUAUUCGAGCGGCCGACGUCUGAUCAGCUAGUAGGGGAGGUAAAGGCUCACCUAGGCGACGAUCAGUAGCGGGUCAGAGAGGAUGAUCGGCCACGCUGGGACGGAGGCACGGCCCAGAGUCCUACGGGAGGCAGCAGUGGGGAAUUUUGGACAAUGGGCGAAAGCCUGAUCCAGCCAUGCCGCGUGUCUGAAGAAGGCCUUCGGGUUGUAAAGGACUUUUGUCAGGGAGGAAAUCCCUAGUGCUAAUAACACUGGGGGAUGACAGUACCUGAAGAAUAAGCACCGGCUAACUACGUGCCAGCCGCCGCCGUAACAC
rnacentral:rRNA from 1 species